CCUACGGGAGGCAGCAGUGGGGAAUCUUGCGCAAUGGGCGAAAGCCUGACGCAGCCAUGCCGCGUGAAUGAUGAAGGUCUUAGGAUUGUAAAAAUUCUUUCACCGGGGACGAUAAUGACGGUACCCGGAGAAGAAGCCCCGGCUAACUUCGUGCCAGCAGCCGCGGUAAUACGAAGGGGGGCUAGCGUUGCUCGGAAUUACUGGGCGUAAAGGGAGCGUAGGCGGAUAGUUUAGUCAGAGGUGAAAGCCCAGGGCUCAACCUUGGAAUUGCCUUUGAUACUGGCUAUCUUGAGUGUGGGAGAGGUUAGCGGAACUCCGAGUGUAGAGGUGAAAUUCGUAGAUAUUCGGAAGAACACCAGUGGCGAAGGCGGCUAACUGGCCCAUUACUGACGCUGAGGCUCGAAAGCGUGGGGAGCAAACAGGAUUAGAUACCCUGGUAGUCCACGCCGUAAACGAUGAGUGCUAGUUGUCGGCAUGCAUGCAUGUCGGUGACGCAGCUAACGCAUUAAGCACUCCGCCUGGGGAGUACGGUCGCAAGAUUAAAACUCAAAUGAAUUGACGG
rnacentral:rRNA from 1 species